rnacentral:lncRNA from 1 species
AUAUAUUAGAAGGUGAAGUAAAUCAACAAGAGAAGCAAGCUGAGCUCAUGGAUAUUCAGAUCAUAGUAAAUAUCUGAAAGUAAAGACAUUUUUCCACAGUAAAGAGUUUAUCUACAGGCACCUGUGCCAUUUGGCACCUGCUGGGCUUGAUUUGGGGUAUUUCAGAUAUUAAGUGCUUAACAGAUAAAGCUCAAGGGGACAGAUUAGUUAAUUGCACCCUACUCAUCCCCAUUUUUCUUGUGGCUCCCAGCAGCAGGAGCAGAGUUUACUGCAGGUUCUGUUCCCAUCUAUUCUGGAGCUAAAGCCAUAAAAACAAAUGGAGGAUGAUUAUACCACGCACUUGCAAGCACCAAGGAAUGGUGCGGAUGCAAGAAGCAGAAGAAAAACUUGCUCAUUUAGUGUUUUCCUGAUUGCCUGCCAGAUCCACAUCUGCUCUUCAGCCAACGCAGUGCAAUACUGCUAGCUGGCUAUUAGAUGAGAAGAAUUCAAAUAAUUUUUGUCACGUGGAGGAAGAGGGAGCAGAGACCCACCCUGACGGCCUUACUGAUCUGAAAACUGAUGCUCAUGUCCAUCGACUGCUAUGUAAAAGAGGUGGUAGCCCUGCCAGAGAUGCCAGAAGUCUCCAAACCUUUGAUGGGACGGUUAAAUCCCGGGUUUCCUCUGCGCUGUGCCAUCAGGCUGCUCAGAUGACACCAGAGCUCCAGCCAGCAGCUCUGGGAUGAAUAAACUCCUGGAGUCCAAACUCUCUAAGUGUUGUACGAACCCUUUAUCCGUGUCAGGGUGUGAGUCAGUCACAAACCCCGAGCAUCACUUGCAAAUCCAGGUGGUAGGACUGUAGUGUCCAGACCUAGGGCGCUGGGCUUUGUAUGGCAGAUGAUGCUGCAACACCAUCUGGCAGACAGGGACGGAGGAAGAGAUAAAGCAGGAAUAUUUUUGCCCCUCCUCUGGGCUGUGCACGGACACACUGCGCACCUCUGACACCACACCGAGCUACCCAGAAAAACUCAGCCUGGAAAUCUUCCCCACACGGCA